AUUGAACGCUGGCGGCAUGCCUUACACAUGCAAGUCGAACGGCAGCACGGGUGCUUGCACCUGGUGGCGAGUGGCGAACGGGUGAGUAAUACAUCGGAACAUGUCCUGUAGUGGGGGAUAGCCCGGCGAAAGCCGGAUUAAUACCGCAUACGAUCUACGGAUGAAAGCGGGGGACCUUCGGGCCUCGCGCUAUAGGGUUGGCCGAUGGCUGAUUAGCUAGUAGGUGGGGUAAAGGCCUACCAAGGCGACGAUCAGUAGCUGGUCUGAGAGGACGACCAGCCACACUGGGACUGAGACACGGCCCAGACUCCUACGGGAGGCAGCAGUGGGGAAUUUUGGACAAUGGGCGAAAGCCUGAUCCAGCAAUGCCGCGUGUGUGAAGAAGGCCUUCGGGUUGUAAAGCACUUUUGUCCGGAAAGAAAUCCUUGGCCCUAAUACGGUCGGGGGAUGACGGUACCGGAAGAAUAAGCACCGGCUAACUACGUG
rnacentral:rRNA from 1 species